UAAUCUGCGAUAAGCGCCGGUAAGGUGAUAUGAACCGUUAUAACCGGCGAUACCCGAAUGGGGAAACCCAGUGUGACUCGUCACACUAUCAUUAACUGAAUCCAUAGGUUAAUGAGGCGAACCGGGGGAACUGAAACAUCUAAGUACCCCGAGGAAAAGAAAUCAACCGAGAUUCCCCCAGUAGCGGCGAGCGAACGGGGAGGAGCCCAGAGCCUGAAUCAGCAUGUGUGUUAGUGGAAGCGUCUGGAAAGGCGCGCGAUACAGGGUGACAGCCCCGUACACAAAAGCGCAUGUGCUGUGAGCUCGAUGAGUAGGGCGGGACACGUGGUAUCCUGUCUGAAUAUGGGGGGACCAUCCUCCAAGGCUAAAUACUCCUGACUGACCGAUAGUGAACCAGUACCGUGAGGGAAAGGCGAAAAGAACCCCGGCGAGGGGAGUGAAAAAGAACCUGAAACCGUGUACGUACAAGCAGUGGGAGCACCCUUUGGGUGUGACUGCGUACCUUUUGUAUAAUGGGUCAGCGACUUAUAUUCUGUAGCAAGGUUAACCGAAUAGGGGAGCCGGAGGGAAACCGAGUCUUAAUUGGGCGUUAAGUUGCAGGGUAUAGACCCGAAACCCGGUGAUCUAGCCAUGGGCAGGUUGAAGGUUGGGUAACACUAACUGGAGGACCGAACCGACUAAUGUUGAAAAAUUAGCGGAUGACCUGUGGCUGGGGGUGAAAGGCCAAUCAAACCGGGAGAUAGCUGGUUCUCCCCGAAAGCUAUUUAGGUAGCGCCUCGUGAAUUCAUCUCCGGGGGUAGAGCACUGUUUCGGCUAGGGGGCCAUCCCGGCUUACCAACCCGAUGCAAACUGCGAAUACCGGAGAAUGUUAUCACGGGAGACACACGGCGGGUGCUAACGUCCGUCGUGAAGAGGGAAACAACCCAGACCGCCAGCUAAGGUCCCAAAGUCAUGGUUAAGUGGGAAACGAUGUGGGAAGGCCCAGACAGCCAGGAUGUUGGCUUAGAAGCAGCCAUCAUUUAAAGAAAGCGUAAUAGCUCACUGGUCGAGUCGGCCUGCGCGGAAGAUGUAACGGGGCUAAACCAUGCACCGAAGCUGCGGCAGCGACACUGUGUGUUGUUGGGUAGGGGAGCGUUCUGUAAGCCUGUGAAGGUGUGUCGUGAGGCAUGCUGGAGGUAUCAGAAGUGCGAAUGCUGACAUAAGUAACGAUAAAGCGGGUGAAAAGCCCGCUCGCCGGAAGACCAAGGGUUCCUGUCCAACGUUAAUCGGGGCAGGGUGAGUCGACCCCUAAGGCGAGGCCGAAAGGCGUAGUCGAUGGGAAACGGGUUAAUAUUCCCGUACUUGGUGUUACUGCGAAGGGGGGACGGAGAAGGCUAUGUUGGCCGGGCGACGGUUGUCCCGGUUUAAGCGUGUAGGUGUGUGUUCCAGGUAAAUCCGGUUCACUUUAACACUGAGGCGUGACGACGAGGCACUACGGUGCUGAAGCAACAAAUGCCCUGCUUCCAGGAAAAGCCUCUAAGCAUCAGGUAACAUCAAAUCGUACCCCAAACCGACACAGGUGGUCAGGUAGAGAAUACCAAGGCGCUUGAGAGAACUCGGGUGAAGGAACUAGGCAAAAUGGUGCCGUAACUUCGGGAGAAGGCACGCUGACACGUAGGUGAAGUGAUUUACUCAUGGAGCUGAAGUCAGUCGAAGAUACCAGCUGGCUGCAACUGUUUAUUAAAAACACAGCACUGUGCAAACACGAAAGUGGACGUAUACGGUGUGACGCCUGCCCGGUGCCGGAAGGUUAAUUGAUGGGGUCAGCGCAAGCGAAGCUCCUGAUCGAAGCCCCGGUAAACGGCGGCCGUAACUAUAACGGUCCUAAGGUAGCGAAAUUCCUUGUCGGGUAAGUUCCGACCUGCACGAAUGGCGUAAUGAUGGCCAGGCUGUCUCCACCCGAGACUCAGUGAAAUUGAACUCGCUGUGAAGAUGCAGUGUACCCGCGGCAAGACGGAAAGACCCCGUGAACCUUUACUAUAGCUUGACACUGAACAUUGAGCCUUGAUGUGUAGGAUAGGUGGGAGGCUUUGAAGUGUGGACGCCAGUCUGCAUGGAGCCGACCUUGAAAUACCACCCUUUAAUGUUUGAUGUUCUAACGUGGACCCGUUACCCGGGUUGCGGACAGUGUCUGGUGGGUAGUUUGACUGGGGCGGUCUCCUCCUAAAGAGUAACGGAGGAGCACGAAGGUUGGCUAAUCCUGGUCGGACAUCAGGAGGUUAGUGCAAUGGCAUAAGCCAGCUUGACUGCGAGCGUGACGGCGCGAGCAGGUGCGAAAGCAGGUCAUAGUGAUCCGGUGGUUCUGAAUGGAAGGGCCAUCGCUCAACGGAUAAAAGGUACUCCGGGGAUAACAGGCUGAUACCGCCCAAGAGUUCAUAUCGACGGCGGUGUUUGGCACCUCGAUGUCGGCUCAUCACAUCCUGGGGCUGAAGUAGGUCCCAAGGGUAUGGCUGUUCGCCAUUUAAAGUGGUACGCGAGCUGGGUUUAGAACGUCGUGAGACAGUUCGGUCCCUAUCUGCCGUGGGCGCUGGAGAACUGAGGGGGGCUGCUCCUAGUACGAGAGGACCGGAGUGGACGCAUCACUGGUGUUCGGGUUGUCAUGCCAAUGGCACUGCCCGGUAGCUAAAUGCGGAAGAGAUAAGUGCUGAAAGCAUCUAAGCACGAAACUUGCCCCGA
rnacentral:rRNA from 1 species